GUGUCAGCCGCCGCGGUAACACGUGGGAUCCGAGCGUUAUCCGGAUUUACUGGGCGUAAAGCGCGUGCAGGUGGUUCGGUUAGUUGGAUGUGAAAUCUCCUGGCUCAACCGGGAGUGGCCGUUCAAUACUGCCGGACUAGAGGGCGAUAGAGGGAGGUGGAAUUCCCGGUGUAGUGGUGAAAUGCGUAGAUAUCGGGAGGAACACCAGAGGCGAAAGCGGCCUCCUGGAUCGACCCUGACGCUAAGACGCGAAAGCUAGGGGAGCGAACGGGAUUAGAAACCCUCGUAGUCC
rnacentral:rRNA from 1 species